CCUAAACUUGUCUGAUGAAUCAUUUGCUAAAAAUAAUUUACCCACUUCUAAUUGGGAUAUCUGCACUUCGACAAAUAGAUUAGGUUGUAACAAGGGCUUUUAAUCUCACGUUGUGAAGCCAAAAGUGCACAGGCUUCAGCGUUUAAUUAAAUAGGUUUCUGCUGAUGGGGAGCUGCUUUUAUUUGUCACUGGGGUUAAGCCUCCUCUUCUCAUAGAUGUGCUGUCUGAAGUGCUUUAUUUUAAGUGGGUGCCAGCACAGUGUCAAGGCAACUGCCUCUUGGUUUUUUGUUUUUUAAUUUUGGCUGAUGGUUUUGGGUUGGUUUUGUGUGUUUUUUGCAUUCUCAUGCUUGUUUGUCUGCAGUUUAUUUCUGUGGCCAGCAGGGAAACGGGACAGGAGUGGUCCUGCCCAAGAGCAUCAGCGGAGAUAGAGACUAGGCCAAUAUAAAGGAGACACCGGUGUCCUCCUAAAACUACUACGAAGCACUCUCUUAAAUAUGUCCUGAGGCUGAUCCAGUACGUCUUUAAAACGAUACCUGGAGGCUGGGUUUUUGAAGUCUGAGACUGAAGGGCAGAGCAAACUCUUGGCAUCUGCGUUUUCCUGAUUUAUUUAUUUCCAUUCUUGUUCGUUAGACUGAAGAAUAGGGAGCAAGAUGCAGGGGAUGGGGCUGUACCCCCAAGUCCGGCAAAGCUCUGCCUGUCCCAGCGUGUCUAUUUUUUUUCUUGGUGAUUGAGAGAGAGCUGAGCAGGUCCAGUGAUACAGAGCAAAUAAAACCAGCCAUGAAAAACAGAAUAAAGCAAGAACUUCCUGCGAGAGGCAUUUUUUUUUUAACUCAUAUUUUUGGUGACUUAAUUCAGCCUUUCAAAAGCAACAGUGCGGGAGCAGUUUUACGUUAAUAGCAACUCGUGAUUAAAAAAAAAAAAAAAAAAAGAACGAACCUGUUUUCAAUGUGUAAUUUAAUGGUAAGAAAAGCCAGUAUUUGUAAAUAACUUUAGAUAUUGUAUCUAUGAGGAACAUGAUUUGUUUUAUGUACUUUGCUCUUUUCAUAUUUAUUGUGCGGAAGAGGGUUUUAUACCUCAUCGAUAUACUACUAGUGCACGUUUGAAGUAGUAUCUUUCAGAGACUGUGUGCAGAGUUUACAGUCCUCAGCAGUUUCUGUGAUGUGCCACCUUUAGUUAAUUCUACCAUUUUUAUUUUAUUUUAUUUUUUAAAUGAGACUUAUUUUGGAACAGCGAAGCUGCUUCUGUGUGUUGGUCAACUGCUCUCAUACAAAGAGACUUACAAUAAAAAAAAAAUCAUGUGA